rnacentral:lncRNA from 1 species
CCUGAACAUUUUGAUUUCAAUGAUCUAGAGUAGAGACCAUCAAGAAGAGAAGAUAGCCAAGUGUUCUCUUAAACUUGAAUGUCAUUACAUUUUUCAAGCUUGAAGGAUAGACAAUUCCAAAAAGCACUCAGAUGUUUGCUAACCUCUUUUUAGAUGGAAGAGAGUUUUUGGAAUAUUUCUUGAUUCUUAUCCCUAAUUUUUC